AGUCCGCGGCGGUCCUCGGGGAACGCCGAGUUGCGUGUCCCCAGCUCGAGGCAGCGUGAGCCUCUGCGUGCCCCCGGGGCGCCGCCCAAAGCCUUCGCUGCCUCUGGUUCCCCAGCUCAGCGGCCUGAGAGGUCCCCGGGUGCCCUCGCGCUCCUCGACCCCGAACAGACCCUCCCCCGUGGGGAGAUGUCCGCGGCAUGCAGAAGCGGCAGCCUAGCUUCCCGUUGGCGUCCACACCCCUGUCCUGCGGAGGCCAUGUCGUCAGCCACUCCCUCUCGCUGCUGGCCUUCGGAUGCUGAGGCUAUCGUCGCCCCUCCAUUUUUUUUUUUAUAUCCUUACAUGCCCUACUUUGAAAUCCCUGGCCCCUGAAGGUUUCGCAAUGGACCCUGUCCAGAGUUCCAUCUGCGGUUUUUCAUAUGCCGGACUCUGAGACGCUCCACGAUCUCAGUUCAGACAGUCCUUGUUCUGCCAUUCAUUCUAUAAACAUUCAGACUGAGCCUUCGUGGUGCACCUGUUUGCCACGCCCAGGAUCCACCUUCACCGAGCUGACAUAUUUCUACCAAAGAUAGAAACCUCUAUAUAGCAUUUAAUAGGUGAUAGCAGACACGGCUCAAACAGUGGUGCCACAGAAACCAUGGGCUGAAACGUCUGAAACUGUGAGCGAUAAUACACCCUUCCUCCUCUAAGUUGCUCUUGGUGAAUGAAAGCUGAUCCACACGUGCCUCCAGCGUGCUCCUGGGAGGAGACCCCCGUGGAAGGGUUCUUCGAGAGGUUGAGCAUGGCUGCCUUCCAGCGUCCAGAAGUGUGUUUCCAUGCUGGUUCUAAAUCCAGUCAAGCUGACAGGAUUAACUGUGAAAAUUCCACCCCUUGUCAACUGGAUGCCUGAACGUCCUCCUGGCUGAGACACCGCAGCCGAGGGUCCAGUUUCGUCACUCCGCACCGCUUGUGACUCUGUUUGGCCAUCUUUCUUUCCAAUGUAUGGAGUCCACCCUUUAAAAGCAUCUUCCCAUAGCUACUGCGGGCUCUGUAGACUCCUCUUCCACCACCUCGUCACCCUUGGGAACCUCCAAGAGGCUAGUCCCUCAAGACUCCAUGGAGCUCCUUGGCCGGUGCCAGCUGCCACUGCCAUCUUUGUUUUCUCUGAGUCAACUUUCUUUUAACCAAACGGGGAACGGGGACACAACAAGGGAAGAUCAGGCCAGCACGAAGACUAAAACCAUGCAGGGUGAACAACCGCUGCACCUCCAUUUCCAGUGUCUGACACUCUUGGAGGCAUCGUCUAAGCUCCAACACCCCCUUCUCAACGCUGCCCUCCGCAACACGCAGACUUUCUCUUAGGCCAGCUCCCCACUGCACCAACAGCUCUCUUUGGAACAAGACUAUGGGGUCACAGUCCUGGCAUCUCAACAUAUUUGCAUCUCCAUUGCAACUUAGGCUUUGCCUUUGCAACUGCACUUUCUGUUUAUGGGUGAGCGGCCUCCCAGGGUCUCCUUGUAGGGAAUCUUCUCCCACUGUGCACUGCUUAUCCUCGAUGUCUCCAUGACUCCCUCAACCCUUUGGCUUUCUUGCCUUCAAGAUGAGUAGCACACAGACACACUGCCAGAGUUCUGCUGUCAGCUUGAGAUGUGGCCUCGCUCUCCCACUACAGUUUGUAGCAGCCUAUGUGAGUCUUUGAGGCUGAGCCCCAGAAAGCUCUUCCCUAGGAGACAUCUGAGCAGGAACCCUGGGUGGCAGCAUUCUCAACUGAGGCUGCCUCCUUUCGAAUUGAAUUUGCAUCUCCACAGGCUGGAGCCUUCAGUGAUUUUGUACCUUUCCUGUUGUCCCCGUGCAGAUUGCAAGGCUCUGUCUUCAGUGUAUGCAUCACUUUUAACAUCACAGCUGCUUUCUCUACACACUUUUCUGCAACCUCAUAACUGCUCACACUUCCUGCCUUGGGUGAAAAAAAAAAGCACAUUUUUUGUAUCCUUCUGCUCCUCUGGCUGCUCUUUCCUACUGAAGAUCUGAGUCAAAGCAGAGAGCAGUAGCUAUGUUGCAGUCUGAAUGCUAACCUGUCUUCAAAUUUCCUGUAGCAAAUGCCGUAGUCCAUGAUCUUUUAAUUCAGCAUGGUCAAAUUUUCAGGAAGAAAGCAACCACAUUUUCUCCCCAGAGUAUAACUAAGCCUCUAGCCCUGUUCCUAAUAGAGUCUCUGUUCACCUCUGAUGUCUUGUAACAGUGUUUAUAUGUAUGUGAUCAUGUAUGUUCACGUAGACAUGCACAUGUAUGUACAGAUGUAUAUGUUCAGGUGCAAGUGGAGGCCAGACAUCAGCUACAAGUGUCAUUCCCAAAGAACUUUCUUCCUUGUUUUUUGAAAUGGGGGGGGGAAUGUCUCUCACUGGCCUAAAGUUAACCAGCAAGUGUAGAAUGGCUAGUCAUCAAGUCUCAGGGAUACACUUGACACAGUUCCCAGUGCGGAGAUUACACGUGUGCACCAUCAUACCUGGCUCCUUAAAAGUGAGUUCUGGGGAUCACUCUGAUUUUCACACUGCAAGACAAGCCUUUGCCAACCCAGCUACCAGCCCUACUGUCUUCUCUUUGCUCGAUUUGGGGGGCUUUUUUUAAAAAAGAAAAAUCCAUCUAGGACAUUACUGCCUUCAUGUAAUAACAUGAAACCACAAGAAGCAUGAUACAAGGCCAGCUCCAUGCUCUGGAUCUAGAUCUAUCUCACAGUGAUGCUGAAGUCUCGCCUCUUUGGUCCUACCUUGUGUCUCUCAUCCUCACUGAAGUUGGAACUACAACAUUUCAGGUUGCUUGCUCUCCCAAUUGUCCCCAGGUUUAAUUCUAGAAAUUUCAAUAAUAUCUAAUCAUCACUCCAUCAUGAGGCCUGAUCUAACCACACAAAUCUAGCCGUACCUGUCUCUUGAAGACUUGAACCCAUACACAUGGCACCAGGACAUGAUGUGGAUUGGUUCAAGCACCAUCGUACAAGGAAGAAGGGGGUUCCCCAGUUGUUGGAGGUAGGUGUCCCUGACACAGAUGGCGCUUCAUGAGUGGUGACCUUAGAAGCAACCUCAAGAAGAAGAUGCUGUGCCUAAUGAGGUCUUUGAAAAGCAACAGGAACAGGGAAACCAAGCUCCACAAAGAUGGGACCGGUUGGCUCCUGUGUCCAAACAACCUGCGGAAAGAUGAGGAGACAGAGCUGUCUCAGCAGCGGAUGUCUCAGCAGGACACCAGCGUGCCUGUAGUAGCCCCCAUCCCUGAGUGGAAGAGGCCAGGCCAUGCUGUUCUGUGAGAGCCAGAGUUAUGUGGAGGGGAUCUGGAAUCAAGAUGCUGCAUGGAUGUAAUUAAACAUGGGGGUCCAGAGUUCAGAUCCCUGCCUCAGUUUUCAGGCUUGGGACCUACUGUUGAAGGAGGCAGCCAGCCCAGGAGGGAGAAGCUGGUAGGCUGGGCAGGUUAAUACUCUGCCCACCACACUUACUUCUUGGCCAGAUAAAUCUGAGGGUGUUGGUCUGUGGUUCCUCUGU